rnacentral:rRNA from 1 species
AUUGAACGCUGGCGGCAGGCCUAACACAUGCAAGUCGAACGGUAACAGGAAGCAGCUUGCUGCUUUGCUGACGAGUGGCGGACGGGUGAGUAAUGUCUGGGAAACUGCCUGAUGGAGGGGGAUAACUACUGGAAACGGUAGCUAAUACCGCAUAACGUCGCAAGACCAAAGAGGGGGACCUUCGGGCCUCUUGCCAUCGGAUGUGCCCAGAUGGGAUUAGCUAGUAGGUGGGGUAACGGCUCACCUAGGCGACGAUCCCUAGCUGGUCUGAGAGGGUGACCAGCCACACUGGAACUGAGACACGGUCCAGACUCCUACGGGAGGCAGCAGUGGGGAAUAUUGCACAAUGGGCGCAAGCCUGAUGCAGCCAUGCCGCGUGUAUGAAGAAGGCCUUCGGGUUGUAAAGUACUUUCAGCGGGGAGGAAGGGAGUAAAGUUAAUACCUUUGCUCAUUGACGUUACCCGCAGAAGAAGCACCGGCUAACUCCGUG